rnacentral:rRNA from 1 species
GACAGAGGGUGCAAACGUUGCUCGGAAUUACUGGGCGUAAAGCGCGUGUAGGUGGACUGGUGUGUCAGAUGUGAAAUCCCUGGGCUCAACCCAGGAACUGCACCUGAAACUACCAGCCUUGAGUGGUGGAGAGGGAAGUGGAAUUCCUGGUGUAGAGGUGAAAUUCGUAGAUAUCAGGAGGAACACCAGUGGCGAAGGCGCUUCCUGGAC